ensembl:lncRNA
GUUUUCUUGGGGGGAGGGGGGCUGUGAAAUUUGUUUUGGGUUCUAAAUCAGUACUAGACACAUCCUCGUUUGCUAAGAACACCCACUGCUUGCCCACUUAUUUGGUUCAUUUUGAGCUUCACUGGUGGCUCAGAUAGUAAAAGAGUCUGCUCGCAAUGUGGGAGAUCCAGGUUCGAUCCCUUGGUCAGGAAGAUCCCCUGGAGAAGGAAAUGGCAACCCACUCCAGUACUCUUGCUUGGAAAAUUCCAUGGAUAAAGGAACCUUGUAGGCUACAGUCCAUUGGAUCAAAAAGAGUUGGAUAUGACUGAGUGACUUUACUUUCACUUUCCAAUGUUUCUAGUCCAAUCCCAGUUCUUUUGAGAAAUGCCUGUUUGUGCAGUAGCAGCAGCAGCAGCAUAUCUUUGGGCCAGUUUUCUGUUAUUGUUGCAUUACUCGUUUCUCUUUAUGGGUGGUAGAAACUUCCUAUUCUUUUUAAGUCAUUUCUUUCUUUACAGAAACCCUAAUGGGUUCCCAGUGGGAGGGACCUUCUACCUCAAGCAGAGCACAGAGAAGUUGCCUGAGCUAUCUGUUCACUCAAGCUCUUCUGGCUAAUGAAUGGAGGAGGAGGAGGCUCACUGGACAGGGUCUCCCUCUCAGAAAACAAUGCUGGUUCUGCUCCAGUGGUUAAGUGCCCUGGUUGUUAUUUCUAUAAAAUGUAAUCAUUCCUCACAGUUCUCCUUCCAUCUAGAAUCUCCCUUGCCUUAUCGUUCCCUGUUACCCCUGGCAGUCCCUUAAGUACAGAAUACUCCCUGGCCAUGAUCUGUGGACCAGAACAAGGAGCACCCCAUGGCUGUAAAUGCCUGGAUGGAGGGAAUGCAGGAGCCGUGGGAGGCAGGCAGUUGCUUGUCUUCCAUCCCAGCCCAAGCAUCCUGCCUUCAGUCCCUGCGUGUCAAGUUCGCUGUCCUCCCUCAGCAUCCAUGCAGAGAAAAAUGCUAAAAUGACCAGAGUCUCCUAAACAAUGCUGAUUAAAUGUGAUGGUUAUCAUUCUGUCUUACUCUUAACUUUAAUGGAAUUACUUCUGAAGUGUCACCAUAAAUUAGAGGUUGGCUGGACAUUUUUUUUUACUUAUGCUUUAAGGCAUUUAGCUUGUUCCUUUCAAUAAGAUUCUAAGAGCUCUUUUACAUCAUUAAUGCCUAUUGAAUUUUGCUGGAUUUGUUUCUGAAUCCAUGAAGCAGUAAUACAGACUUUAGUGCUUAUUCUGUAAAACUCAAAAAAUUGCAUGGGUAGAUUGUCU